rnacentral:rRNA from 1 species
GUGGGGAAUAUUGGACAAUGGGCGAAAGCCUGAUCCAGCCAUGCCGCGUGUGUGAAGAAGGUCUUCGGAUUGUAAAGCACUUUAAGUUGGGAGGAAGGGCAGUAAGUUAAUACCUUGCUGUUUUGACGUUACCGACAGAAUAAGCACCGGCUAACUUCGUGCCAGCAGCCGCGGUAAUACGAAGGGUGCAAGCGUUAAUCGGAAUUACUGGGCGUAAAGCGCGCGUAGGUGGGUUUGUAAGUUGGAGGUGAAAUCCCCGGGCUCAACCAGGGAACUGCAUCAAAAACUGUAUGAAUAGAGUACGGUAGAGGGUAGUGGAAUUUCCUGUGUAGCGGUGAAAUGCGUAGAUAUAGGAAGGAACACCAGUGGCGAAGGCGACUACCUGGACUGAUACUGACACUGAGGUGCGAAAGCGUGGGGAGCAAACAGGAUUAGAUACCCGGGUAGUCC